rnacentral:ncRNA from 1 species
AUUGUAAAAACCAAACCUAUCGUGAGGUAGGGACGGAAAGCCACGGGUCUUACAAACAGAUAGCCGGGUUGCCACAA